rnacentral:tRNA from 1 species
GAGGGUACAGCUCAGUGGUAGAGUUUGUGCUUAACAUUUACCAGGUCCUGGGUUCAAUCCCCAGUACCUCCA